UACAGAGGUCCCAAGCGUUGUUCGGAUUCACUGGGCGUAAAGGGUGCGUAGGUGGUUAGGUAAGUCCGAUGUGAAAUCUCCAGGCUCAACCUGGAAAUGGCAUUGGAUACUGUCUAGCUUGAGGAGUGGAGGGGGGACUGGAAUUCUCGGUGUAGCAGUGAAAUGCGUAGAUAUCGAGAGGAACACCAGUGGCGAAGGCGAGUCCCUGGACACUUCCUGACACUGAGGCACGAAAGCUAGGGGAGCAAACAGG
rnacentral:rRNA from 1 species